rnacentral:ncRNA from 1 species
UUAUUUAAAAAAUAAAAUAUCCAUAUAAUCCAAAUAAUAAGGUUUUGGAGUAUCUACAGGAAGCCAUAAACUUUCUACUAUGGGUAAAUCUUAAGUCAAU